UGUAUUGAUCUGCGUCCCCGUGUUCGGCGGGCAGCUUGGCCAUGAGUGCAGCCGCUCCGCGUCCUAUCCCAAUCGUCCGGCGGCGCCGCUGGAUCUCCGGUGAACUCCUUCGCCCUUGCUGCUAUCCUCCUCGCAUGACGCGAACUUGAGAGAGGAGGAUGGAUAUGCGGAGUGGUAGAAUAGUUCAGCAGGAUGACUGUUCGACGAAAUGCUCGAGAGAGAGUAGUGCGAAGAAGUCACUGAUCGCCCCAUAAACAAUAAUGGGACAUGUCUUGGAUCAAGUUCCGCAGCAGUGGCGCCUUGGCCUGCUUCUAUCAGAGCAUUUCCAUGCGUGCCUUCUGGACAGUUGCAAGUAUAGCUCCCGAGGGAAUUGAGACAGGUUCCAUAGCAUGGAUACUGCUCCGGAAGCCCACACUCGUUUAUAUCUACAAGAAAAACAGCUUUAUGAUAAGAAGAAGGCAUGCUUUGAAGCAAAAUUUAGAAUUAUGAGAAGUUGAGUCUCUCAGCAAUAAAUUGGUGAUUUGGUGGGGGAUUCAUGACUCCCUCCACUUUCAGAGAGAGAGAGAGAGAGAGAGCUCGAGUCCACUCCAAUUCCAAUUGAUUGAUAUCUUCAAGUCUCCUAGUUAAGUUUCUAAGGCAGAAGCUAGCAAUUCAAUGAUGAUCCAAUCGGAAAUUUCAUCAAUCUCUGAUCUAGAUUGGAUGAUCAUCGAUUCAGACGACAGAAAUUAGGGAAAAAGAAAAUUUAAAACUCAUGAUCAGUACCUUGGCAUCCAUUUGGGAGAUAGGGAUUGCCUUCAUAGCCCACUGAACAGCUGCAAUAAUAUCCAGGGCCGUUAGGAGAGUCAGUGCACUUGCUGUGGUCGCUAAGACAAAGGUAAGAAGUGGUGUUAAGCUUGGCUUUCUCACAGCUUGUGCCUCCUACAGCCCAGUCCAGUGCCACAGGCACCCCAUUCUUAUUUCUCUUGUAGAAGUCAAACGAUAUGAUAUCAGAGGCCAUGAACUGGUACCAUGUCUCAUCUGCCAAGAAAGAAUAGCUGCAAGGAUACACCUGGUAGACGCUGGAGAUAUUGAGCCUGGGAUCAAUGACAGAAUUAUAGUAGACAAACCCCUUGGGAAUGGAAGUCUGGCAGCAGCCCAUGCCAUUGCAAGAGCCGUUAAUGAUGCUGCUUAUAUCGCUGCAUGUUGCCAAGCAUCCACUGGCAUAACUCUGUCCAUUGGAGCUUAGUAUGUAGGCGAGGGUGUUGCAGCCAAUGGUGGUGAAUUUGUUGCGAGUGUCGGAGAACUUGAAAGGGGUGCCCUUCAAGUCCAUCAGGCGAGCUGUGUUGCCUGUGAAGUUGUUGUUGCUGUUGUUGUAGCACACCCAGCUGAUGUACCAGUAGACAUGUGCGAGGCCUUGUGGCAGCACGACAUCGAUUAGCUCAACGUUGCCACCUAAGAAAGGCUUCGAGUUGUUGCAUGUGACCUCGAAACCUUCCAUGAAGCACUUCGGGCCAAUGCCGAAGGGGUAUGGGAUGGUGAUAUCCCCGCACUUAUCUACGCAGCCUGGUAACGAAGUAUUCGCUGAUGCCACCGCUGCUGCUCCUAGCAGCAGCAGCAGAUGUAGCUGGAGCAACAACACUGGAAUGGAUGCCAUCCCGCUAUUGCUGAAAGAUUGCAUAUGAUGGAAGAUAUCAGCUCUUUUUUCUGGGGUACAUAAAAAGGGGAGGACUUAAAGGCAUCUAAACCAUGUGGAAUUAGCAAUUCUGAAUCAACUGUCUGAGUCCCUGAAGCUUCCUUGGCCAACCAACCUGCCACUUGAUUUCCUUCAGGGAAGAUAUGGUUGGAGGAAGAUACCACCUCUUUAAACGCAGAUACAGAGAAAAAAAAAUCCAGGGACGUGCUAGUUUUAGUUGUAUUAAUUCUAGACUGGCAAGUUUUUUUUUAAUUUUUGGAGGAGAGUUGACUUUUCUGGAGACAUUUUCAGCGUGAGGCAAGCUUGGCUGGUGUUGCAGGUGUUGGAGUUGUUGACUUUCCUUGUUAUCCAAUUUUUGAGGAGAGCUGUUGGCCUUUUACUUUUUCAUCGUGAAGAAAACUUGGCUGCUGUUGUACUUGUUUGAAUUGACUGAAUCCUUUUUAAGACCAAAUGUUGAUUGUUA